rnacentral:lncRNA from 1 species
CACUUCUGUGCACUAAUUUGGAUGGCAGCGACCGGCGCAUACCCAUUGUAAUCAGAAAAAUCAAAGAAGCCACGUUGCUUUCGGAACUAUGUGCCCGUGCGCUACAGGCACAAUGCGAAGGCGUGGAUGACACGCGAUUUAUUCGCAGAGUGGCUAGGCAAGUUUGACCGCGACAUGCAGAGGCAGGACAGGCACAUGCUGCUCGUGCUUAACUGCUCAGCGCACCACGUUCUAACUUCUCUGACGGCAGUGACUAGACUUUUCCUGCCGCCCAAUACGACUUCAAAAGUGCAGCAGCUUCAUUUAGGCAUAAUACAUGCCUUUAAGGCAUCGUAUAGGCACCGCAUUCUGGAGCGCUUGCUCAUUGCUGUUGACCACCCGGCCGCCAACUUGCCACUGAGUUUCGCUGUAUUCAGCCGUUGAGAUUGCGAAGGUGGCCUCGGCGGAGGUGACGGCUGCUUGCGUGCGGAACUGUUUCUGCAAGGCCGGCUUCGUCGACGUAGUGCCUGAUGCCGACGCUUCUGAAAAGGAUCAGUCCGGCGGCGAUUUUUGGCUGCGCGUCGUCGACUCCGACAUGGGGAGCCAUGACAUUGGCUGGGAUGAUUUUAUUUCUGCUGAUGAAAACACUGACAGUGCAGAACCGUGCACGAACAAGGGCAUCGUUUGUGAAGUGCGGGUCGUGAGCGACAUGGAGGAAUCGGAUGACGAUGAAGCUUUGGAGCCAGCACUCAUAAGUGCGCCUGUAGCAAUGGGCUACACAGAGGACAUCAGUCAACUUGUCUAUGCCAAGGGCUUCGGCGAAGAGCACGCUUCUGCUUUAAGUAUUCUGGAGACCGCCCUCAUCGGAUGUGCACCGCAGAAACAGACGAGCAUUACGGACUUUUUUGCAAAGAAAUAAAUUUGUGUUUUGACUAGCAA